rnacentral:rRNA from 1 species
UUUUCUUGUUAGUUUUUGAAGUAUGGCCUGCCCGCUGAUUGAAGGGCCGCGGUAUUUUGACCGUGCAAAGGUAGCAUAAUCAUUAGUUCUUUAAUUGUGAUCUGGUAUGAAUGGCUUGACGAGGCAUGAGCUGUCUUUUUGAGUUUGGUUUCUGAGUUAAAAUUCUUAGAUGUUUUUAUGGGACGAGAAGACCCUAUAGAGUUUGACAUUUUUUUUGUUUGUUUUUAAUAUUUUAUUUGUUUUGUUGGGGUGAUGGGAGGAAUUUUCUUAACUCUUCUUUUUGUUACAUUGUGUGUUUUAUUUUGAUCCAUUUAUUUUGAUUAUAAGAUUAAAUUACCUUAGGGAUAACAGCGUUAUCCUCCCUGAGAGUUCUUAUUGGCGGGGGGGUUUGCGACCUCGAUGUUGGAUUAAGGUUGAUUUUUGGUGUAGGAGCUGAAUUGAUUAGGUCUGUUCGACCUUUAAAACCUU